GAUGAACGCUGGCGGCGUGCCUAAUACAUGCAAGUCGAGCGAACAGACGAGUAGCUUGCUCCUCUGAUGUUAGCGGCGGACGGGUGAGUAACACGUGGAUAACCUACCUAUAAGACUGGGAUAACUUCGGGAAACCGGAGCUAAUACCGGAUAACAUGCUGAACCGCAUGGUUCAACAGUGAAAGACGGUCUUGCUGUCACUUAUAGAUGGAUCCGCGCCGCAUUAGCUAGUUGGUAAGGUAACGGCUUACCAAGGCAACGAUGCGUAGCCGACCUGAGAGGGUGAUCGGCCACACGAGAACUAAGACACGGGCCAGACUCCUACUGGGGGCAGCAGUAGGGAAUCUUCCGCAAUGAGCGAAAGCCUGAUGGAGCAACGCCGCGUGGGGAAAGAAGGUCUUCGGAUCGUAAAACUCUGUUAUUAGGAGAGAACAAAUGUGUAAGUAACUAUGCACGUCUUGACGGUACCUAAACAGAAAGCCACGGCUAACUACGUG
rnacentral:rRNA from 1 species